GGGCCGGUGGUCUAGCGGCUAUGAUACCACCCUUACGAGGUGGUGGUCGCAGGUUCGAAUCCUGCCCGGCCCACCA
rnacentral:tRNA from 1 species